CAGUCGCCACGGGAAUACGUAGGGUCCGAGCGUUGUCCGGAAUUAUUGGGCGUAAAGGGCUCGUAGGCGGUUUGUCACGUCGGGAGUGAAAACUCAGGGCUCAACCCUGAGCGUGCUUCCGAUACGGGCAGACUAGAGGUAUUCAGGGGAGAACGGAAUUCCUGGUGUAGCGGUGGAAUGCGCAGAUAUCAGGAGGAACACCGGUGGCGAAGGCGGUUCUCUGGGAAUUACCUGACGCUGAGGAGCGAAAGCAUGGGGAGCGAACAGGAUUAGAUACCCCCGUAGUCCCUGUCUCUUAUAC
rnacentral:rRNA from 1 species